UACGGAGGGUCCAAGCGUUAUCCGGAAUCAUUGGGUUUAAAGGGUCCGUAGGUGGGAUGGUAAGUCCGUGGUGAAAUCUCCAAGCUUAACUUGGAAACUGCCGUGGAUACUAUCAUUCUUGAAUCUCGUGGAGGUAAGCGGAAUAUGUCAUGUAGCGGUGAAAUGCUUAGAUAUGACAUAGAACACCGAUAGCGAAGGCAGCUUGCUACACGAGUAUUGACACUGAGGCACGAAAGCGUGGGGAUCAAACAGG
rnacentral:rRNA from 1 species